rnacentral:lncRNA from 1 species
GGAUGUUAUAUAUCUGUAUGUUGAAUCCGUACUUUCCGGAACCGUUGUAUUGUCUUAACCAUAAUUGUUGUGAUGAUUACAUGUAUCAGCCUCUUUUGGCGUUUGAAUCCAAAGUAAAAGGAUCAUAAUUUGAAAGUUCUUCUUUUUAUUUACAAUCUAUAUACUUCGUCUUUAGUCCCCCAAACCUAAGUCAGGAAUAUCACACA